GCCAGAGUGACUUAGGGGUUUGAGUGUUGGACUAUGACUUCUGGGACCAGGGUUCGAGUCCCAGCUCAGCCA